rnacentral:rRNA from 1 species
AUGAACGCUGGCGGCGUGCCUCAUACAUGCAAGUCGAGCGAACAGACGAGGAGCUUGCUCCUCUGACGUUAGCGGCGGGCGGGUGAGUAACACGUGGAUAACCUACCUAUAAGACUGGGAUAACUUCGGGAAACCGGAGCUAAUACCGGAUAAUAUAUUGAACCGCAUGGUUCAAUAGUGAAAGACGGUUUUGCUGUCACUUAUAGAUGGAUCCGCGCCGCAUUAGCUAGUUGGUAAGGUAACGGCUUACCAAGGCAACGAUGCGUAGCCGACCUGAGAGGGUGAUCGGCCACACUGGAACUGAGACACGGUCCAGACUCCUACGGGAGGCAGCAGUAGGGAAUCUUCCGCAAUGGGCGAAAGCCUGACGGAGCAACGCCGCGUGAGUGAUGAAGGUCUUCGGAUCGUAAAACUCUGUUAUUAGGGUAGAACAAAUGUGUAAGUAACUAUGCACGUCUUGACGGUACCUAAUCAGAAAGCCACGGCUAACUACGUG